CAGCCGCCGCGGGAAUACAGGGGAUGCAAGCGUUAUCCGGAAUGAUUGGGCGUAAAGGGAGCGCAGGCGGUUUAGUAAGUCUGAAGUUAAAGGCAUUGGCUCAACCAAUGUAUGCUUUGGAAACUGUUAGACUUGAGUGCAGAAGGGGAGAGUGGAAUUCCAUGUGUAGCGGUGAAAUGCGUAGAGAUGUGGAGGAACACCAGUGGCGAAGGCGACUCUCUGGUCUGUAACUGACGCUGAGGAGCGAAAGCGUGGGGAGCGAACAGGAUUAGAUACCCCAGUAGUCCCUGUCUCUUAUACA
rnacentral:rRNA from 1 species